rnacentral:tRNA from 1 species
GGUUGUAACUCAGUGGUAGAGCACUCACCUAGCACAUGUGAGGCCCUGGGUUCAAUCCUCAGCACCA